rnacentral:lncRNA from 1 species
AUGUCAAAGCCGAGGCCAACGUGACACUCUCCACUCGAGCCGGGGUCGCAGGCGGAUCCCGGAGGGCAGCGCGUGGGAACAGGGACUCGGGUUCUCAGUGGUGAGAGAGACGGGGGCAACCACCACACGUGACGGUGAGGAUUGAAUACCACAAACUGUAAACUCUAAGUGGCUGUGGAUGGGAGCCAUUGAUUCUGCCAAGCACCUCAAGUUCUUUGUGGGACAGGAUGGGUGCAAAUAAAUGCACAAAGCAAACAAAAUUAGCGUCUGCACCCACUUCUUUUGAAUGGGAGUAGAUUUUUUUAAAAAGCAUCAGAUGCAAAACAGUAUGGCUCCAGGUACAUACUAUUCUAAGAUAAUGGACUAGAACCAACGAAAGGAGCUUUUCUUUUUUUUCUUUCCUUUCUGGCAGAGUUAUUCUUAAUUAUUAGGUUGGCAGUUUCUCGAGGAGCUGAAAGGCAAUUAAGAACUGAAGCCUGGCGAGGGCGGGAAGGGACAGGUGGGCGGGACGGACCCCUGCCCCCGUGCCCUGCCUCCAGGAGCCCUUCGAACGGGGCCGGCGGUGGAGCAGUGGCUCCCGAGCGUUGGGAUGAUGACAACGAAUCCAUUCAGGGGCCCGGGUGCGAGAGCGCAGCUCGGAGCUGGAGGACCGCGGCUGGAUGAGGCCACCGUUCAAAGUCAGUGCCUGGAGGAAGGGACACCCUCGGGAGAAGGCAGCCGUGGCCGGUGGGGGAUGGACCACUCCUCAGGCGGGCUGCUGGCUCUCUGGGCCUCACUGUCCUCCUCAGAGAGCAGGUCUCAAGUCACGUCUCAUGGAGAUAAGCAGCGACAUUGUUACGACAAAGUAUGUAAAACCAGCUGUAAGCUAAGCGUAAUAAAUAUUACACAGAGAUGUAA